UCUCUCUCUCUUCAUUUGCUUUCUCCUCUCUUUGUUUUCUAUAUAGACCUCACAGAGCUCUUCUCUCCUGAUGCACUACCCACCAUAUCUCCCACUGCCGAAGAUGGAGGAAUCAAUCAAUUCCUCAAUGGAUAGCGCCUUCUUGUCCAAGGUUGGCUCAGCUUCCUCUGAGGAGAGUGGUUGGACCAUGUACUUUGAGGACUUCAUGGCUACAGCAGCAGAAAAGGCCGGUGGUGUCUUCUCCUCCGGUGCUGUCAGUGAGCCUUCUGUGGUCUCCGACGCUGCUUCAUCUGUUGCGUGGAAGCUGUCGGCCAGCUUUGAAGUGACGGAGGAUUACAGAGAGCUGAGCCUGAAGAAGACGAAGGGGAAGAGGCUGGUGGAUGAUGAUUCCUUGGAAGAUACAGCCAGUUCACCUGUUAGUAGUCCCAAGGUUACUGAUUUCAAUUACUUGACUAAGAACACAGGCAAGAAGGAUGACCACAGGGACACAGCUUAGGAGAAUGUUGUGAGAGAUGGGAAUUGUCAUGAACUGGAAGAAACUGUGAAAGGAUCUGAGUUCAUAGAGAGAACAAAAUGAUGUACAGAGCUGAAGAAAAGAGAGCCUUGUUUAGUUCCUUUAUCCAUGUUUUUGUUGAUUGGUAUUACUUACUAAUCACCAUGUACAAGCCCAUGACUAUGCCCUCAUUACCUUGUACUCUUCAUCUCAAUCCAAUUGGAGUAAGGUUUGUGUGCUUUGACUUCCUGUUUCAGUCAAAAGCAAAGGAAAAAGAAAUCACAUAUCUUCAACUUGAUAAUUCAUUUGGGUACCAAAGUAGAAGUCAGAAUAGGCAUGCAACAAAU